rnacentral:lncRNA from 1 species
UGGCCAGUGGUAUCAAGUUGAUAGCCAUGAUGAUGCAAGCAUGAAUGCACAGGAGAGCUAUAUAGACUCAGCGAGUAACUGGCAAAGCAGCGUUGCCUCUACUGAUAACUCCAAUGUUGCUUACCUGAGUCAGAGUACAACAUCUGCAGUGGCUGAGAGUAUCUCUACUUGGAACCAGGUUUCACAGGUGGCAAAUGGAUAUCCAGAACACAUGGUCUUUGACCCACAGUAUCCGGGGUGGUACUAUGACACAAUUGCUCAAGAAUGGCGCUCUCUGGACAGCUACAACCAGGCUUCUCAAACAACUGGAACUGGUCAAGCUCAUGAACAGCAAGUUCAGAACGUCCAUUCUCUUGGAUCUAUGUCUCACAACUAUGCCGAGAGUAAUAUUUAUAAUGUUAAUGGUAAAAACCAGGCAUUCAAAGCGCAAGACUUUGCUAUACAGAACCAACAGGGAAGUUGGGACCAGUCUUACUAUGCCAACAACAAGCAGCAGGCUACAAACACAUGGCAAUCAGAAAAUGGAGGUAAUAAUGAGGCGUCUGUAACUUCUGUCUCGUUUUCACAGUUCGGAGGAAACCAGCAAGUAAAUAGUUUGUACAUUACGGAAUCUGUGGCUGAACAGUUUAAGCCAAAUGAGAAUGGAGCUCAAGGCUUCAUCCCUCAGCAUAUGAAUGUGGCUAGUGUCACGCAGCAUGGACCACUGAGUUUCUCAAACAAUUUCUAUAAUAGACAGAAAUCUUUAGAUGAUACUCAACAGUCAUAUCAGAGCAAUCAGCUUUUCUCCCCAAGUGUAGGAAGAUCACCUGAUGGGCGUCCACCACAUGCACUUGUGAGUUUUGGCUUUGGUGGGAAGCUCAUUCUUAUGAAGGAUACUAACGGCUCUCUCCAGAAUUCAUCAUUCGGAAGUCAGGUUAGUCAUGAAGUUUCCAUUAGUUUUUUACACCCUCGGAAGUUUCUGCAAACUAUUGUAGGAGUAUCACUAUUUUAUAUAUGAAAUGUAUUAUUAUAACCUCAAUAGUGAACUUUAGUUCUUGCUUUCUAAUCUUUUUCUGUUUGAUUCAAAGGGGGCUGGGGGAAGCACUAUAUCUGUCCUAAACUUGGCGGAAGUUACUUCUGGGAGUGCUUCUUUUUCAAGUCUUGGGGAAGACUCUUCGAGUUAUUUUCGUUCUCUGCAUCAACGAUGUCUUCCAGGUCCCUUGGUUGGAGGAAGUGUUGGAAAUAAAGACUUAAAUAAGUGGCUUGAUGAGAGUAUUUUACAUUGUGAAUCUUCUGACAUGGACUUUUCAAGAGGGAAGCUUUUAAAAAUGCUUAUGUCUUUGCUCAGAAUAUCAUGUCAGUAUUAUGGGAAACUCCGGUCUCCUUUCGGGGCUGAUACAACGCAAAAGGUGAGCAGUUAUGGAAAUCUCUUGUCAGUACGCCUCUUAAGGAAACAUCUAUAUGUGUUACAGUUUUCUCAUCCUUGUAUCUAUGCUGCAAACAGGAAACAGAUUCUGCUGAAGCAGCAGUCGCAAAACUUUUUGCAUUUGCCAAGAAAAAUGGUGGCUAUGCUCCAUUAAGCCAAUGCUUGCAGCAUUUACCUCCUGAAUCACAAAUGCAAGUGAGUAUUCAACAUCUUAGGAUAUUUCUCUUUCAGAGGGAAAGGGUUCUAAAAUAUAGUCGGUUGUUUUUUUUUGCUUAUUGACUCAUUUGGAAAAAUAUCCUAGGCAAGUGCUUCAGAGGUGCAGAAUCUUCUGGCUUUUGGUAGGAAAAUGGAGGCUCUGCAAUGUGCACAAGAAGGCCAUUUAUGGGGACUAGCGCUUGUUAUCGCGGCACAGCUUGGAGAUCAGGUUCCUUUCCCUUGGAUACUCUAAAUCUAGACCUUCCGUUGUUGUGGUUGUAUGACUGACUUGGUUGUUCCUUGUCGUAAAUUGUUGCAGUUCUAUGCUGAUACUGUGAAACAAAUGGCCCUUUGCCAGCUGGUGCCUGGAUCACCUUUGCGAACAUUGUGCUUGCUCGUUGCGGGGCAACCAGCUGAAGUGUUCUCCAAUGGCAGUACAAGCUGUGUCGAUUUUUCUGGUUCCGUAAGUGCGUCUCCGCACCAAACCCAGGUAAUACGGUAACAAUCUAUUUCUUAUCAGUCCAGACAAUGUGUUAGAUUGAAGAGUAAGAACAAGUUUAGAGAUGCGAUACCAGAAUUUUAGAAGUUCAAUGAAAACCAAUCCUUUUGUUCCUGGGGAAAAUCCGAGAUAGCAUACCGCCUACUGCUGUCCAAGAGCUUACUAAAUACUCAAACCCCAAAAUAAAAAAAAAAAGAUGAACAGAAUCGUAACCCCCUUAGUUCUCUCGUGAUGAAGAUACAUAAUCAAUCCAUAUAUCCUCACCAAAUCAUUGCUAAAUAACAUUUACCAUGAUUAAAAGUCUGGAACUCCAUAGAUGGUGGGAAUUCUCUCUAGUACGAGAUAUUUUCUCUACCACAGGGAACUAGUUUACUUCUCCAUUUCAAAGGACGCAGUUUUGUCUUGCAUUGGGAGUUCGCUAAUAGUAUCUUUGUUUCUUUGAAUUGCAGUUUGGAAGUAGUAGCAUGCUUGAUAACUGGGAAGAGAAUUUGGGUAUAAUAACUGCUAACAGAACCACAGAUGAUGAGCUUGUGAUUACUCAUCUUGGAGAUUGCAUGUGGAAAGAAAGGAGCGAGGUGAUCUAUCUCUGCCAUUUUGUUUUGUUUUGUUUUGUUUAACUUCAUGGAAGACUUUAUAAUGACAUUUUAAUUGCUAUUAUGGAUCAGAUAAUUGCAGCGCAUAUUUGCUAUUUACUUGCGGAUAAGAACUUUAACCCAUACUCAGAUAGUGCCAGGCUCUGCCUUGUCGGAGCAGAUCAUUGGAAAUAUCCUAGAACUUAUGCAAGUCCGGAGGCUAUACAGGUUUUUUUUUGCUUUGGUUUUAGUUAGCUUGGAUGUUCUGUUUUUAAUAUCGUAAGCAGCCUAAUAGUUCCUCAAUUUAUUUUGAUUUUUUCCUUUUUUUUUGUUGAUCUUUACAUUGGCAGAGAACAGAGUUAUACGAAUACUCUAAGACGCUGGGAAACUCUCAGUAUAUCUUGUUACCGUUUCAGCCAUAUAAAAUCAUAUAUGCCCACAUGCUGGCUGAAGUUGGUAAACUUUCGGCCGCACAGAAGUAAGAAGGUUCACUUGCCACCAAAUUUUCCAUAAUUAGACUGUAUCUAGCUUCCUGAUGUUGCUGUUCUGUCGCUGAAUCAGGUACUGUCAAGCAGUAUCGAAGUGUCUCAAGACUGGCCGAUCAACUGAAGUGGAAACAUGGAAACAGUUUGUCUCAUCACUGGAAGAGAGAAUCCGUAUCCACCAACAGGUACAAGCCCACAACAACUUCUGUUCCAGUAGAAUUACAUGGAACCGUUGAUUUUUUGUCAGUGGAUUUACAUCUGUUUGCUGAAAAUGUGAAAAAGAGAGACCCAGCCUUAUGGACAUCCAUAUAAAUGGAAAUAAUUAGGAUAUAAGAGACCCAUCUUGUUCUCUAAUGAUCCAACAUAACCAGAUAUUCCUAUUUCAGGGAGGGUAUACUGUGAAUUCUUCCCCAGCAAAAAUUGUCGGAAAAUUUCUUAACUUUAUUGAUAGUACAGCACAUCGUGUUGUUGGGGGCAUGCCACCAUCUGCACUUCAUUCAACAACAGGAAACUUACAGGCAAAUGAGUAUCAGCAUCAUCAACAGCAGGAGGCUGCUAAGUUACCAUAUAGUCAAUCUGCUAAUACAAUGCAAUCAUUGAUGUCACAUGCCUCAAUGGAACCAAUACGUGAGUUGGAUGGGAACUCAAGGACGAUGGCAGUACAUUCUAGAAGUGUCUCAGAGCCAGAUUUCGGUAGGACGCCAAUACAGGUCAAUAUCACUAGAUAUCAUUUAUUUUUAUUUGCUUUUCUGUUAUUGCCUGAUGUCUGGUUUGGGAUUUAUCCUGAGGGUAAGUUGGUACUUAGCAUGCAGGUUUAGAAAACGAUUGCUUACUUGCCUUUUUUCUGAUAGGAUCAGCCUGUCUCCUCAAAAGACAAAGCUACUGAUGGGGUGCCACAGGUGAAACCAACCGUGAAUGUGACAAGUUCGCGGUUUAGCAGCUUUGGUUUUGGCAUACUAAAGAACACCGUACGGAGGGUCUUACCAUCUCGGCCAUCUAAAGAGGUGCACCUUAAUAAAUGUUUUAAGUCGUGAUGAUGGUUUUCUUGAACUUAUUCUAAUGUUGGGUCAUGCUUUUGAAUGAAGGCAAAACUGGGUGAGGAGAAUCAAUUUUACUAUGACGAAAAACUAAAGAGAUGGAUGGAGAAAGGUGUAGAACCCCCAGCUGAGGAAGCUGCAUUGCCUCCUCCUCCAACAGUAGGCACGUACCAAAACAACUCACUGGGGUAUGAAAACAGAUCUGACAUGAUGAACGAGAUGUCUCCACCUAGUGGGAGCUGGAGCAGUGGCAGCCCGACUCCAUCCGAGAAUUCUGCGGGAAUCCCACCAGUCUCACAGGGCUCGAAUCAAUUCUCAGCUCGUGGACGCCCAAGGUAAACAAACCACUUGUGACGCUUUCGAAUUAUUCUUAUGUGCAGGCUUUCCUGGAUCAUAAAUCAUGAGCGUAGUUGUAGUGUCUCAUUAGAAUGACAUUCAAGAGUGAAUAAAUAUAAGCCAACGACGGUAUUAAAGGUGAAGCUUUGAGUGUGAAAUGGACAAACUUUUCUUGAUUGUAGUUUCCGGUUGUGUUAGCUAUAAUACUCCAUAGUUGAGUCUGAUAAAUUGUCAGAAAAGCUGCUGUAGACACUGGGGAUCAUCACAUAUUGCCUUUGUUAGAUAACGUGCAUGAUUAGAGUUGAAUCGUUUUUACUUUCUUUUGGAGCAGAUACGUUGACCUCUUUAAUCCAGGCGGUGGAAACUCUAAGACAAUGUUUCAGUCAGCUCAUGCAAAAUCUGCUAAACCACCAAUCCCUGCAAAAGCAAAUUUCUUCAUCCCAGCAGCACCUGCGUCGUCUUCAAACGACCAGGUAACCGAGAUUGCAGCUACUGAAACCAGACAGGAGUACUCAGCAGAAAAAGAAGUAGCCGCCUCUGCAGGGGCUCCACCACCAAGCCACUCUUCAUUCCAGUCCCCGACUCCAUCUCCAAUGACAAUGCAGAGAUUUCCAAGUCUAGAUAACAUCAAACGAAGUGGAUCAGGAACGAGUCUUAACGAUGAUUUUCCUUCGUCAGGUUCCAGAAGAACAGCUUCAUGGAGUGGAAGUUUGAACAGCUCGUUUACAUCUCCAACGGGUCCAUCAAACCUCAAACCAAGCCCACUCAACGGUAGCAGCAGCAGCCUUGGAGAGGAGCUUCAAGACGUGGAACUGUAAGAGCUAGAAUCUGUAGUAUCAAAAAGUUUUGCUCACUGUCAGAGGUAGUCCAGUCAAAUGUUAAUCCAUGAGUUUACCCAAUACAUAAAAUACGAUAGGGGCAAUAUGUGUGAGUUUGUAUCCAUUGUUUUUUUUUUUACAUUACAAAUCAUUAAUUUUUCUUGUUUAACAGACUUCAGUUGUUGUACAAUUAUACACAUUAAUGUUCUGUUCAUGAGUAGGGGUUUAAUCAAAUGGUUCACCAUGUGAUUGUUUUUGCUAAGUCACUUCUUCAGUGUCAUCAAGUUGAUAAUAGAGACUUUUUAUAGGCUGAAGAGCAAAUCUGUUUCUAGAAUUGUGAAAGAGUAUUGAGCUCCAGUGCCGUGGUUUCUGUUUAAUUGUGAGUACUUGAUUCAUGCAGGCACAUAAUUUUCACCGUUACCAUGUGGGAUCAUUGCAUCUUUUAUCAAGUGCGAACCUUUUUUGAGUUUUAGUAAUCCAAAUAAAAUAUUGGAAAACAAGUAUUAGGAAUAAAAAACCCUGCAAAACGUGAAAUUUGUAGGGUUUAACAUAUUAAACCAAAUGUAUUGUGUAACCUGCGUCAGAUUGACAUUGUGUGUUUUUGCUUUUGUCUUUAUAUGAAUGCCAGUGUGGGGGAAUUAGUUCAUGUUCUGUAUAUAGGAGUGGCAGCAAUACUGUAGUAAUUUGUAUGAGUAGUGAGACUAUUUGCGGUUGUUUUUAAAGGUGGGCUCUGUAAACAAUGCGUUGGUGAUUAUUUACUUUUGUGAAGCUAUUUUAGAUGAGAUUGCAUUUCUAGGUUACUUCUUUGUCUUGAUUCACAAGACGUUAUCUUAAAGACUCUUUACCAUAGAAUCAAUAAGCGGAAAACAAUCCGCCUUUCUUUCUUCGUUUCUGUUUCUGCCCUAUUAGUUCUUUCUGUUUACAGAUGGGCCUUUCAGUCCCAAGAUGAUACAUUCAUGAAGAGUAUUACUAUCAAGGGAGACAAGAGGUUGUUUUUUUUUUUUUAAAUCGAAAUUUUAUUCAUCCCGAUAACUGGGGAUUCAGUUCGAACAAAAUUUCCCAAUUCUAAGUAUUACAACCUAGCUUCGCCCACCCACUAAACCCGACACAUUCCGCUAGAUCGUUUUUAUUAUCCUUAGGAAUCGGUCGCCCUUCUCAACCAUCAACGAUGACCAUAGGAAAGUGAGGUUCUCCUCGUUGCCUCGGAUGCCGGGAGUUCCUAUGUCGUCUCCGGAGUAGCUAGCUACCGAUGAACGCCUCGAAGCUUACAAACGUCACUGUCCAUGAAGUGCUAGACGAGCAAGAGAGGAAGGUUACCCUUACCGAGAAGUUCGAGAAACCAGCUAGAGCCUCCAAUGCCGCCAGGAACCAAGCAAAAAGCGAGAUGACCUAACCGCCACACCCUGCCCAGAAUACUCCUAAACCUGCAAGGAAAGACCCAGAACACCACCGCAACAGAUCAAGCGAACUCUUACGGUUCGGGAGGCGAACUAAAACCAAAUGUUGACACGGAGACGGUCAAUGACUCUCCCGAGAACCAUCUCCACAUUUGUGAUCAAAGUCCAAGCUGUGAAACCCAUGUACCGGUGUCAACGGACAAGGAAACAAGGAGUACAAGCCAAGUGCUAAGAGGCCUCUUAACACCUGGAAGGACUAGGAUGAGUGCCUUGACAAGAAGAUCCGAGAUGACGAAGCAAGACCCGCAGCCUCCAAAGGCCAUAGACGACCUUCGAAAUCCACCGGUGAACGGAGGAUACAUCUACGAACCUCACCCACACGAGCCUGAGGAGAGCACGGCACCAAUACCACUUACGUACCAAGCUGUCAAAGACCCGCCUCUGAGUUGAAAACCACAAGAGACCACCUAACUAACGAGAACAAGAGCCGGACCUCUCCGACACCGAAAGGGGCACGAACUCUAAACCCGAGAAGAAGACUGAAACCACAGCCCUAGAGUGGCGGAGACCACCGAGAGACAAGAGCAUAGCUUCAGCCCUUCACUUCAAGCCAACGACGAAGAGGAAUUGUAGAUCUGAAAACUGAAAAUCGAUCUACUCCCAUCUCAAAAGCCGACUCCUCCAUGAACCACCUCUUCACGAACCUCACCGAAGCUCCAGACGCAGCUGAGACGUCACCGGCGAUGAGCUCUUCGCGAGCAGAGCCCCUCCACCGAUUAGAACCUCUACACCAGAACCUGCGAUUUGUCGGAAGGAAAGCGAAUGGACAUGGAGAAGCACAAAUAAAGACGAAGGAAAGAAGAACGAGCGCCUCCGGCGACGAUCGUCACGGUCACGCGCGAGUCUUCGAUCAAAAGAUCCCAUAGACCACAAUUUUUCUUGUGUCUUCUAUUCUUUGUUGUUUUUUUUUUCUUUUGUUUGGGACUCCAAACUCUUGUCUUUUAAAUUUGGUUUUCUCCUCUUACCCGAUUGGGGUCUCUCCAGUUGCUAGCCAUGUUUGGUUUCAUAACUACUUUGACAUUGUGUUUAUAAUAACCAAAGGCUCAAAACUUAUAAGAUACUAGAGUUGCAUUGCAACAUUUUUCUCAUGCAUCCAGCUAGAGUCUACACUGUGUUUUACCCUUUUUAAAACAGACGUUCCCAUGAAGCAUCAUAUAUAUUACUAGUAUAAAGAUAAAUAAUCUAAUCAACCCGAGGUUCUCUUAGUCCAAUAGUCUGAGCAAAGAGUUCAUUAAUUGUUUUAUACCAGAAAGGGAAUUAUGCAGAGAUUUUUGGCACGGAGAAAUUAGUACCGUCAAUAAUGGAUCUCAUAGGACAACUCAGGAUGAUGCAGUCAUACGUGAAUACUAAUAAGAUAUGUCGGUUGUAGUAUCGCCUAUGUUUCUCGUAGUUUGUAAUAGCAUAAUUAACAAAUAUUUUAAAAAAAAAUUAGUAAAAUUUUUCCUAAAAUAUAUAUAUAUAUAUAUAUUUUUAUUUUGGGGGCUAGAUUGAAGGUUGGGAAGGUAAAAGGAUUAAAAUAAACAUAAAGGUUAUUUGGAAAAUAGCAAAUAUAAGUGGAAUAAUAUAAAGUUCAUUAUUUGACUAUGAUACUAAAGAUUUACGGUGGGUUCAUCUGAACCUUCAAUUGAAACAUGAAAAAUAUUACUUUUACGGUGUCAAUAAAAUUACUAUCAUCUUUACUUUUGUGGAGAAAAUUUCACUACCAUGCAUUCUUUCCAUGAAAGAUAAUGCUUCUCAAAGCAUUAUCCGAUCUAUAGUUUCAGGUUAAACACCAGUCUGUCUUCUUACCUAGCAAUUUGUACGGAGUCAGAAGAGGCCACCAAGAUUAUUUCAGUUUUUUUUUGUAGGUUGUGGAUUAGAAAGAUUAAUUUUCAGUUAUCUGACGACAUUUUUCGAAGUAUUUAAACUUUAUUUUGAAUUUGCUGUCAUCUUCAUUUGAAAAAUUAUUUUGCUUAGUUUUUAUAGAUGUUUUAGUUUAUUUUGCUUAUCAAAGAGGAUGUAAAAUUCCCUUUUCCCUUUGUAGUCACGAAGGUUAAAUUUUUAAUGGAAAAAAAAUUCAAGUUCAUUAAUCGGGAUCCCAUUAAUCGUGUCUCUCUAGGACAUAAAAUCUUGUGGAUACUCUCAUUCAAUACAUAUAUAAAAGGUUAAAUUUGGAAAAGAAAAAAAACAAAAUAAUCUCUCUCUCUCUCUCUUUCUCUCGAUCUCAAAGAUUUCACCGACUAAUCGGAGUCUGGAUCCGGAGAUCCACCGAGUAACACUUGUUGAAACUGGAUCUGUAGAUGGCACUCUCCUGCAUUUGAUCUUCAUCUUCUACGACUCUACCUCGUUCUGCAACCGAUCGAUCCUCUCACGAAAGCUUGCAGAUCCGUCGAUCAGUUUAGGUUUUAGGGGAUUUUGAUCUCAAUUUCAAAAUUCGAUGGCUUCAAACCCUCAGUCUCUGCUGGACGAUCAAUCGGACGACGAGGAUUUCUUCGACAAGCUUGUUGACGACUCCUAUUCUCCCAGCCAAGCUCACGCUGCCAACGAGCUCGAAUUCGUCAACGACGGGAGUGACUCCGAUGACGCCGCCAAAGCGUUUGCGAAUCUCUCUCUGGGUGAUGGAGAUGUGCAGUUGAAUGAAUCAGCAAACCCGGGGAACGAUGUUGUUGCAAACGAGGGUCCAAGUAGUUCGAUGCGGAAGGAAGAGGCUUCAUCGCUUCCUAUGGAAGAAGCUGUUCACAGUGAUGCAAAUAAGUUAAGUGGUGAUUUGGUGGUGAGAUCGGAUGCGGAGGAUAAGCCGUUUUCUGAAACAGUUAAAGAUGGAUCUGGGAGCCCUGGGGUUAAGGAGGUUGAUUGGGGCUCCUUUUGUGCAGAUUCAUCUGUUAAUGAUGGCGGCGGGUUUGGUUCAGGUUCUUACUCUGACUUCUUCACCCAGUUGGAUGGAUCUUCUACAGGAAAUUUACAGGGAAAGGCGGAGGUAGUAUCCAAUGAUACACAGAUUGCAAGUUUUGGUUUUGAGCAACAUCAGGGUCAAGUGAGUCAAGAUUGGGAAAAUAGCUAUCCUGGAUGGAAAUAUGAUGCUAGCACUGGCCAGUGGUAUCAAGUUGAUAGCCAUGAUGAUGCAAGCAUGAAUGCACAGGAGAGCUAUAUAGACUCAGCGAGUAACUGGCAAAGCAGCGUUGCCUCUACUGAUAACUCCAAUGUUGCUUACCUGAGUCAGAGUACAACAUCUGCAGUGGCUGAGAGUAUGUCUACUUGGAACCAGGUUUCACAGGUGGCAAAUGGAUAUCCAGAACACAUGGUCUUUGACCCACAGUAUCCGGGGUGGUA